rnacentral:lncRNA from 1 species
UAGGCCAGGGCCAGAUUAGCCACCUCCACACCCUUUCCAAACCAAGUGGCAGCCUGAGCCCCAGUUCUCCUUCAAUUACCUGAUCAAGGAAUCUCAACUCCCAGUGUGAGUUUUUCCCACCACAGCGUGAAUCCAGGUUGUUCCUGCAAUGUUAUGCAAUGUGAGUGGAGCUUUCUAACAAUAAGAGCACCAUCUAUGGUCUGGCUGUCUGCUGAGCCUCAUCUGUCAAAGGAGCAGAAAAUUCCAAAGCAUGAUCCUAUGAAUCAAACCUGACACCCACAGACACAGGAGCUCCCUCCUCCCCAACCGCCAAACCCUCAAGCUUCCACAGAGAUCUGAGCCUCUCUGGGUUGAGGAAGAGAGGGACUGUUCUCCCGUAUUAAUCAGAUCCCAUUAAUUUUUCAAAGUAGACAACAGCCCACUUACUCAUCUGCUGUGGAGCCUCAUCCAUAAUUGAUCCUGAACUGCACUUACCCUAACAGACCGC